UGUCCGAUUGUGUAAUGGUAGCACAACAGAUUCUGGUUCUGUUUGUCUUGGUUCGAGUCCAGGUCGGAUAA
rnacentral:tRNA from 1 species